CAAGAGAUCAGGCCGCGAUGGCCAAGUAUCCACAACUUAUCGGUUGUUCAGGCGAGAAGAGCCUCGGAUGAGGGUCUGUAGCUCAGCUGGUUAGAGCACCGUCUUGAUAAGGCGGGGGUCGUUGGUUCGAACCCAACCAGACCCACCAAAUCAAGGGAUGCUCGAGACAGGGGGGCUGUAGCUCAGCUGGGAGAGCGGCGGCUUUGCAAGCCGUAGGUCGUCGGUUCGAUCCCGACCAGCUCCACCAGCAUCCGUGAUGGCUGCUGUCGAGGUCUGUGAGGCGUCAGGCGUGAGGUGCCGCAAGGUAGUUCAGUCCUGACUCUUUACGAGUCGUGCUCUUUAACAAAGUGGAAGAAGUGUAGUACGUACCGUUUCCGGUGCGUACUGCAAGUUGUGUGAUUGCAUCGAUCCAGACUGAGCUUGUCAGCGCAGGCUGGAUCGCACAAACGAGUUCGUUCCUGUACGUGGGCCUUCGCGGUGGCAGCAUCGCAGAGGGUUCAAGGUUAUAGGAUCAAGCGACGAAGUGCAUGUG
rnacentral:tRNA from 1 species